AACGACUCUCGGCAACGGAUAUCUCGGCUCUCGCAUCGAUGAAGAACGUAGCGAAAUGCGAUACUUGGUGUGAAUUGCAGAAUCCCGCGAACCAUCGAGUCUUUGAACGCAAGUUGCGCCCGAAGCCUUCUGGCCGAGGGCACGUCUGCCUGGGUGUCACU
rnacentral:rRNA from 1 species